AUUGUCCAAAAAUACAGUAUUUUAGUGUACUCAAGAAUCUGUAGAGAUUAUUAAAAGUGAGAGAUUUUGGAGCAGGAGUAGCUACAAUAUAAGCAUAAUAAACAAUAUCACAAUGUAAACAUUAAAGUAUCCCAUAAAUGAUGAUGUUAUAAAGUUUUUGUUUAUUUGUAUAUUCCUAAUGAUGCCAUUAAUUGCUUAAUUUUCCUGAAAAUUACCAUGCUGUUGUAAUUCUUUCAAGAUUUCUGGCAGCGAUUUGUAUUCAAACAUGAAGUAAAAGGAUGCAGCAGUGCCAUAUAUGUAGCCAAAGGCUACUCCUCCUUUUUGAAGAAAUCUAACUUACUGCUAACUUACUGCUACAUCCACACCUGGGAUACUUGCCCUCUCUAAAACCAUGUGGAACAGCAAGAGAUUAAUCUCUACUUUUCAAUGUCUAAAUGAGACAGCUCUGCUUUUUCCUGUCAUUUACCAGGGCAUCUUGCAUGAGUCCCAUCUUGAGUCUCAGACUUUGCUUUUUCUAUUUACCACCUCAGCUGAUAACUAUGGUUUCCCUUCUACGCUUUUCAGGGUCUUUAGGACAUGCCUUCCGAUUGCUUUUGAAGACAGUACUAAUACUGGCUACCCACCUGGUAUCUUUGCUUUCUCUACUGAGCUCACCAUCAAGAGGUGCUUUUACUCAGGCUGUUUGCCAAAGGUGGUCCAUAAGAACACCCCCACACCUUCCUAGCAGGCUUCUAUUUUGUACCCUUCCCACUGUAAAUGUGAAAGCUUCAGGUACAAUGGCAACAGCCAAUUUGGAUGUCGGCAAAAAAGAGAAAGACAGAGUUGUGGGGUAAUAAAUUGAAGUCUAAGGACCCAAAUCCGUCAAAUCAGAAACCUGCUGGAAGAAUUCUGUGCUUGUCAACAUUUUUGUGAACUGUUCCAGAAUGUGAAUGUUAGCUGAUUCAUUUCAAACUGUUUCAGACAAUGUUGUUUGAAGCUGUUUUUCUCAGAAAGGCAAUGGAAUAUUUUGAAAGGAAUAUUACUGGAAGCCUGAUGUAUUUUUCAUAGGCUGAGAAAUUAAAAAAAAAAAAAAAAAAAAAUACAGCAAUCUGGACAGAUCUUGUUUUGGUCAAUAUUAUUUUGUUUGCACUUCUAGCCUUCUCUUAAUUUGUUUUGAUUACUUGUUUUAAACACUUAAUCAUCCUUAAUGAUGAUAUUUGAACCUUGUGUCAGAAUUGGUUGCAUUUUAUUAGUGUUCUUCAGACAAUCCAGAAUUUCAUCUCUAUCCCAGACUUUUCUCUAACCUGAGAUAUUCUGCAUCUCCGCAGUGCAAUACCUCUCAGAAAUAUCAAAUAGUUAGGCUUUGUCAAAAAAAAAAAAAAAAAAAAAAGGCAUGUAUAUUUUACUUUUCCUUGCCUGAAACUUUUGUCUGGGGGGAGAAAAAAAUAUCACAUUAUAUCCUAGGCAGACAGAAUCAUAUAAAUAACUACAAAAUGUCUUUCAGAAAUUGGAACUUGCUUUUUAAGCAGCAACUGAUUCCUAACUUUAAUAAUGGAGGAUGCUCUGAACAUACUAUUCAUAGUUAAAUACUAUUACUGGAAGAUUAUUUGUGAGUCUGUAAUAAAAGAUCUAAAGUUAGGCUCA
ensembl:lncRNA